rnacentral:rRNA from 1 species
CGGAGGGUGCGAGCGUUAAUCGGAAUUACUGGGCGUAAAGCGCGCGUAGGCGGCUUUGCAAGUCGGGUGUGAAAUCCCCAGGCUUAACCUGGGAACUGCAUUCGAGACUGCAUUGCUAGAGUAUGGGAGAGGGAAGUGGAAUUUCCGGUGUAGCGGUGAAAUGCGUAGAUAUCGGAAGGAACAUCAGUGGCGAAAGCGACUUCCUGGACCAAUACUGACGCUCAUGUGCGAAAGCGUGGGGAGCAAACAGGAUUAGAUACCCUGGUAGUCCACGCCAUAAACGAUGAGAACUGGAUGUCGGGAGGGUCUGCCUCUCGGUGUCGUAGCUAACGCGUUAAGUUCUCCGCCUGGGGAGUACGGCCGCAAGGUUG